CGGGAUACCCGAGGGAAACCUCGGUUAAUACGGUAUAAGACCACACUACCGCAUGGUAGAGGGGUAAAAGGGGCAACCUGGUAUGAGAUGGACUCGCGUCGCAUUAGCUAGUUGGUGAGGUAACGGCCCACCAAGGCGACGAUGCGUAGCCGACCUGAGAGGGUGAUCGGCCACAUUGGGACUGAGAUACGGCCCAGACUCCUACGGGAGGCAGCAGUGGGGAAUAUUGGGCAAUGGAGGAAACUCUGACCCAGCAAUGCCGCGUGAAUGGAGAAGGUCUUCGGAUUGUAAAGUUCUUUAGUCAGGGAAGAAGUCAAUGACGGUACCUGAAGAAUAAGCUCCGGCUAACUACGUGCCAGCAGCCGCGGUAAUACGUAGGGAGCAAGCGUUGUUCGGAAUGACUGGGCGUAAAGGGUGCGUAGGCGGUUGUACAAGUUAGAAGUGAAAUACCCAGGGCUUAACUCGGGUGCUGCUUCUAAAACUGUAUGACUUGAGUGCAGUAGAGGUUAGUGGAAUUCCUAGUGUAGCGGUGGAAUGCGUAGAUAUUAGGAGGAACACCAGAGGCGAAGGCGGCUAACUGGACUGCAACUGACGCUGAGGCACGAAAGUGUGGGGAGCAAACAGGAUUAGAUACCCUGGUAGUCCACACUGUAAACGAUGGAUACUAGAUGUAGGGGGUAUCGACUCCUUCUGCGUCGCAG
rnacentral:rRNA from 1 species